rnacentral:rRNA from 1 species
AACGAACGCUGGCGGCAUGCCUAACACAUGCAAGUCGAACGAGACCUUCGGGUCUAGUGGCGCACGGGUGCGUAACGCGUGGGAACCUGCCCUUAGGUUCGGAAUAACUCCCCGAAAGGGGUGCUAAUACCGGAUAAUGUCUUCGGACCAAAGAUUUAUCGCCUUUGGAUGGGCCCGCGUUGGAUUAGCUAGUUGGUAGGGUAAAAGCCUACCAAGGCGACGAUCCAUAGCUGGUCUGAGAGGAUGAUCAGCCACACUGGGACUGAGACACGGCCCAGACUCCUACGGGAGGCAGCAGUGGGGAAUAUUGGACAAUGGGCGAAAGCCUGAUCCAGCAAUGCCGCGUGAGUGAUGAAGGCCUUAGGGUUGUAAAGCUCUUUUACCCGAGAUGAUAAUGACAGUACCGGGAGAAUAAGCGCCGGCUAACUCCGUG